rnacentral:rRNA from 1 species
AUGGCGAGGAUACCAAGACGACUUCGGGACUUGAACCUUACAAUGCAUGAUGCAGAACAUGUGCAGCUUGCUGAAGAAAAUCUGCAAGGUCCUCCAGAGAUUGAUAAUAUAGUACCAGGAAGAUCUCAUGAAUCCACUAGCCAAAUCAAGAUAAUUUGGCCAAAUGGAGAGAUGCGGCAGAUUGUAGGGGAAUUUCGGCUGAAGAAUUUAUCCCAGGUACAUGGAGGAAAGAUAAUUGUGGAGACUAACGAAAAAGGUGUUCCGAAUGAAAGGUCUGGUUCCAUUCUUAGUAGCUAUCUUAGCGACGUUGCAGAGAACUCCACAUUUGCACCACUGAACAUUCCAAGAUGGGACAAUGAAUUAUUUGUC